AUUGAACGCUGGCGGCAGGCCUAACACAUGCAAGUCGAGCGGAGCGGCGGACGGGUGAGUAAUGCCUAGGAAUCUGCCUGGUAGUGGGGGAUAACGUCCGGAAACGGGCGCUAAUACCGCAUACUAUCAGAUGAGCCUAGGUCGGAUUAGCUAGUUGGUGGGGGAAAGGCCUACCAAGGCGACGAUCCGUAACUGGUCUGAGAGGAUGAUCAGUCACACUGGAAAUUAGACACGUUACAGACUCAGACGUGAGGCAUCAGUGGGGAAUAUUGGACAAUGGGCUAAAGCCUGAUUCAGCGAUGCCGGGUGUGUGAAGAAGGUCUUCGGAUGGUAAAGCACUUUAAGUUUGGAGGCGUUACCAACAGAAUAAGCAGCGGUUAACGUCGUGCCAGCAGCCGCGGUAAUAC
rnacentral:rRNA from 1 species